rnacentral:rRNA from 1 species
UACGUAGGGUGCAAGCGUUAUCCGGAUUCACUGGGUUUAAAGGGUGCGUAGGUGGGUUGGUAAGUCAGUGGUGAAAUCUCCGAGCUUAACUUGGAAACUGCCAUUGAUACUAUCAAUCUUGAAUAUUGUGGAGGUCAGCGGAAUAUGUCAUGUAGCGGUGAAAUGCUUAGAUAUGACAUAGAACACCAAUUGCGAAGGCAGCUGGCUACACAAAUAUUGACACUGAGGCACGAAAGCGUGGGGAUCAAACAGG